AUCUUGGUAAAGAGGAGGCUGGUCUGUACAAGCUUGCUUUGGUGCCACCUUCAUCUUCUUCUAAUUGUUGUUCUUCUGUUUUUGUAUGUUCUUCUUCUUCUAAUUCUUGUAAACCUGUCUGUUCUAGUCAUCAAGCUGUUAGUUUACCUUUGAAUGUAAACAGUUCCAUGUGUAAUAAUACUGUUGCCACUGACAUGAAUUACAUUUGGCAUUUGAGGUUGGGUCAUAUCCCUUUUGCAAACAUGAAACACAUUUC
rnacentral:lncRNA from 1 species